AACGAACGCUGGCGGCAGGCUUAACACAUGCAAGUCGAACGCCCCGCAAGGGGUGUGGCGCACGGGUGCGUAACGCGUGGGAAUGUACCCCUGGGUACGGAACAACGUCGGGAAACUGACGCUAAUACCCUAUAAUGAUUUCGAUACCACGAUUUAUCGCCCAGGGAGCGGCGCGCGUCUGAUUAGCUUGUUGGUGAGGUAACGGCUCACCAAGGCGACGAUCAGUAGCUGGUCUGAGAGGAUGAUCAGCCACACUGGGACUGAGACACGGCCCAGACUCCUACGGGAGGCAGCAGUGGGGAAUAUUGCACAAUGGGGGAAACCCUGGUGCAGCCAUGCCGCGUGAGUGAAGAAGGCCUUAGGGUUGUAAAGCUCUUUCAAUCGUGAAGAUAAUGACGGUAGCGAUAGAAGAAGCCCCGGCUAAAUUCGUGCCAGCCGCCGCGGUAA
rnacentral:rRNA from 1 species